CCGAGUUUACAACUCCCAAACCCCUGUGAACAUACCUAUAUGUUGCCUCGGCGGAUCAGCCCGCGCCCCGUAAAACGGGACGGCCCGCCGCAGGAUCCACAAACUCUGUUUUUAUCGUAACUUCUGAGUAACAAAACAAAUAAAUCA
rnacentral:misc_RNA from 1 species